GUGCUCACUUUGGCAGUACAUAUACUAAAAUUGGAAAAAUAUAGAGAAGAGUAGCAUGGCCCCUGCAUAAGGUUGACACACAAAUUCAUGAAGCGUUCUGUAUUUUU
rfam:Tupaia chinensis contig104310, whole genome shotgun sequence.